UUGUAAAUUGAUUUCACACUUGAGUGAUAACCUGGCCAGGGCCUAGCAGCUGGAGCUCCCAUUGUCUGCAGGCUAUGCUAAUUAAUUACUGCAAUUAGCUUAUGGAAGUGGAGUGGACUGGAAGAGAGGACAAGGCGAGAGGUAAGGCUAACGAGGAGAGACAGCAGGCUGUACUCUCUCUACUCUCUCAGUGUGUUUUUGUCACUGUGUUCUCCUUGACUUGAGAGGGAUUUUUAAAGUUAUCAUCCAUCUUGGCAUCGUUGGAAGGGUUUCGGUUGCGACAGAGAUUGAAGCUAUACUGUAGGUAUUUCUGCAGUACUAAGAGAAAAGCAAGGGGCCAAGAUUGGAUCCCUGUUGGACCUCACAUGUACUUCAAGUAGGAUCUAAAGUCUCAUGUAAACGGUCAUCCAGAAUUUGCGUUUCCUUGAAGAUGAAAUGCACUUUACUGCAGGUAAUGGUGAACAACACGAAGACUCCAGAAAAUAAAAGCUAGCCUACUCAAGGAAGGCCCAGGAAAACUAACAUUUACGCCAACAUUGUUUCACCACUUCCAGGUGUUAUCUCAUGCCCACUAGCUGCUGUUCUGAAGUAACUGCUAUAUUUAAAGGCUUUUGCAGUCAUUCCAAAGACAAAUAUGUCUACCCGAGGGAGGCCUCAUUUGAGGCCGAGCUGUAUUUUAAGGAUUCCCUUGGAAUACAAUGUGCUGGUGAAUCAUUUUGGUUUGAAUUGCUCCGGUGGUACAUCUUUGUAAUGGAGCUGUGAGCAGGGUGAGUUUGACAAUUAUCUCUGGCAGCUAAAGAGCAACAUUAUUUGUCUUCCAGUGCCCUGCAACCAUACAGAUGACAUCAGUCGUGCCGUGGAGAAAAUGAGACAGUCUCGAAAUUACAUUCUGUCUACCCCUCGUACAAAUACACAAGCAUGCAUGCGUACAAGCAGAUGUUUUCGUGUUGGAGUUUUAGUUAAUAUGUAAUAAAUAGCUCUUGGCUGCUAAUCUCCAAAUUAAACAGAAUGGUUGAAAGGUCAGCCCAGCGGAAUCUGUUGAGCCAUUAUGGAUCCCCUGAAGCCUCCUUUCUGGGUGGAACUAAUCUCUCCUUGGUCCAGCAGCUGGGGGGGCCCAGCCCAGUGAGGCGCCCACUCCGUGUUACAAAUUACACGCUCCCGUCGAGCCAGUCACACUAGGCUAGCCAUUAGCAAGAGCGUGGGUGGAGGUCUCCGUACCUCCUUGACCUCCCUGUGCUAAAUCUAUAUUAGCAUAUUCCUACCUGUGGUAACCAUUAUGAGCUAGCCUUGGUUACAUGAAUUAAGCCUUGUUUGCUGUUUUAUAUUAUGCCAGAAGGGAUACCUUGGGAAUGUUAAAACACAUUGUUUACAUUUUAUGUCCUUCAGUGCCUGUCAAAACCCAUCUGUAUUCGUUAGUAGCCAGUGCAUGAGGCUGCUGAGUGCACUAAGACUCGAAGAAUCCAUUAGGUUGAAGAAUGUUCAAUUAGAAUUCCUGUGUUGGGAUGUUUGUAAAAUGAUAGGCUAACUACUGUUUAAUAAUGUCAUUGUUCUGGGCCCAGGGAUCGACUUUCCUUCCUUUAACUCUAG
rnacentral:lncRNA from 1 species